CCUACGGGAGGCAGCAGUGGGGAAUAUUGCACAAUGGGGGGAACCCUGAUGCAGCAACGCCGCGUGGGUGAAGAAUUCCUUCGGUAUGUAAAGCCCUGUCAGCAGGGAAGAAAAUGACGUUACCUAACCAAGAAGCCCCGGCUAACUACGUGCCAGAAGCCGCGGUAAUACGGGGGGGGCAAGCGUUAUCCGGAUUUACUGGGUGUAAAGGGAGCUUAGACGGCAGUGCAAGUCUGGAGUGAAAGGCGGGGGCUCAACCCCCGGACUGCUCUGGAAACUGUACGGCUGGAGUGCAGGAGAGGUAAGUGGAAUUCCUAGUGUAGCGGUGAAAUGCGUAGAUAUUAGGAGGAACACCAGUGGCGAAGGCGGCUUACUGGACUGUAACUGACGUUGAGGCUCGAAAGCGUGGGGAGCAAACAGGAUUAGAUACCCCGGUAGUC
rnacentral:rRNA from 1 species